GUGGGGAAUAUUGGGCAAUGGGCGAAAGCCUGACCCAGCAACGCCGCGUGAAGGAAGAAGGUUUUCGGAUUGUAAACUUCUGUCCUCAGGGAAGAAGGAAGUGACGGUACCUGAGGAGGAAGCCCCGGCUAACUACGUGCCAGCAGCCGCGGUAAUACGUAGGGGGCGAGCGUUGUCCGGAAUGACUGGGCGUAAAGGGCGCGUAGACGGCUGUCUAAGUCUGGAGUGAAAGUCCUGCUUUCAAGGUGGGAAUUGCUUUGGAGACUGGAUGGCUUGAGUGCGGAAGAGGUAAGUGGAAUUCCCAGUGUAGCGGUGAAAUGCGUAGAGAUUGGGAAGAACACCAGUGGCGAAGGCGACUUACUGGGCCGUAACUGACGUUGAUGCGCGAAAGCGUGGGGAGCGAACAGGAUUAGAUACCCCUGUAGUCC
rnacentral:rRNA from 1 species